AUGUCUAUGGAACCCACAGUUGGCAUCCAUCUUGGCACCACUCACUCGUGCGUGGGUGUCUUCCAGCACAGCAAAGUGGAGAUCAGGGCAAUCGCACCACCUGGGGCUAUGUCGCCUUUACUGACAUGGAACGACUCACCGGUGACACUGCAAAGAAUCAAGUAGUGAUGAACCCCACCAACACGGUUUUUGAUGCCAAACGACUGAUUGGACGUAGAAUCGUUGAUGUUGUUGUUCACUCUGACACAAGGCCCUGACCCUUCAUGGUGGUGAAUGAUGCCGGCAGGCCCAAGGUGCAGGUAGAAUACAAGGGGGAGACGAGAGCUUCUGCCUGGAGGAGGUGUCCUCCAUCAUUCUGACCAAAAUGAAGGAGAUUGCGGAAGUCUACCUUGGCAAGACUGUUACCAACGCUGUGGUCACAGUGCCCACCUACUUCAACCACUCUCAGCGUCAGGCCACCAAAGACACUGCAACCAUUGCUGGUCUCAAUGUUCUUCGGAUCUUCAUCGAGCCAACUGCUGCUGCUAUUGCUUAUGGUCUGGACAAGAAGGUUGGGCCUGAAAGAAAUGUGCUGAUUUUUGACCUGGGAGGUGGCACUUUUGACGUGUCUAUCCUCACAAUUGAAUCUGGAAUCUCUGAGGUCAAGUCCGUAGCUGGAGACACCCAUUUAGGUGGAGAAGAGUUUGACAACUGAAUGGUCAACCAUUUUAUCACAGAGUUCAAGCACAAGCAUAAGAAGGGCAUCGGUGAGAACAAGAGAGCUGUCAGGUGCCUGCACGCUGCUUGUGAGCAGGCUUCCAGCAUCCAGGCAAGCAUUGAGAUGGAUUCUCUGUAUGAAGGAGUCAACUUCUACACCUCCAUGACCCGUACUCGAUUUGAAGUGUUGAACGCUGACCUUUCCAUGGCACCCUGGACCCCGUCGAGAAGGCCCUUUGAGAUGCCAAGUUACACAAGUCACAGAUCCAUAAUAUUGUCCUGGUGGGUGGUUCCACCAGAAUUCCCCUAAUCCAGAAGCUGCUUCAGGACUUCUUCAGUGGGAAAGAGCUGAACAAGAGCAUCAACCCUGAUGAGGCUGUUGCCUAUGGUGCAGCUGUGCAGGCAGCCAUUCUGUCUGGAGACAAGUCUGAGAACGUUCAGGAUCUGUUGCUGUUGUAUGUCACUCCUCUUUCCCUUGGCAUUGAGACUGUUGGUGAAGUCAUGACCAUGCUCAUCCAGUGCAAUACCACCAUUCCCACUAAGCAGAUGCAGACCUUCACCACCUACUCAGACAACCAACCUGGUAUGCUCAUUCAGUUCUAUGAAGGUGAGCAUGCUCUGACCAAGGAUAACAAUCUGUUUGGCAAGUUUGAACUCACAGGCAUACCACCUGCACCCUGUGGCGUUCCUCGGAUUGUAGUCACCUUUGAUAUUUAUGCCAACGGCAUCCUUAACGUCUCUGCUGUGGACAAGGGCACUAGGAAAGAGAAUAGAUCACCAUCACUAAUGACAAGGGUCGUUUGAGCAAGGAAGAUAUUGAGCAGAUGGUACAGGAAGCUGUGAAGUACAAAGCUGAAGAUGAGAAGCAGAGAGACAAGGUGUCUUCUAAGAAUUCACUCGAGUCUUACUCAUUCAACAUGAAAGCAACUGUUGAAGAUGAAAAACUUCAGUGCAAGAUUAAUGAUGAGGACAAACAGAAGAUUCUUGAUAAAUGUAAUAAAAUCAUCAAUUGGCUGGAUAAGAACCAGACUGCAGAAAAGGAGGAAUUCGAACAUCAGCAGAAGGAGCUGGAGAAAGUCUGAAACCCCAUCAUCCCCAAGCUGUACCAGAGUCCAGGGGGCAUGCCAGGAGGGAUGCCAGGCGGCUUCCCUGGCAAAGGUGCUCCUCCUUCCCGGGGUGCUCCCUCAAGGCCCACCAUUGAAGAAGUAGAUUAA